GUUUCUUCACAUAGUCCAUCAGCACCUCUACCUCUGCUUUGUUGAAGAAUGAAGGACUGCUGGCCUCGCGCUCGUCAACACCGGAGACCCCAUGGAAGAUCAAUGGGAAGUCCUUUGCGCAGCAGUUUGGUGACAAAGCGAUUGUUGAACACGCCCUCGUCCUUCUGGUACAGAGAGAAAUCAUUCAUCAUGCGCUCCAAGAGGGAAACACCUGCAGACAGCAGAACCUUUUAACUCCAGAAACAUGUCAAAUGGCAGCAUAUAACAAACACAAUGCAAAAGGGGAUUGGAGAAUGGGUCCGAGCUGUUUGGGAUCUCCAGCCAGAACAACCUGACCAGUCUCUGCAUGGAGCAGCCCUUUGUACAACGGAUAACAAAAAUCAAACAACACAUAAAGCCAAUUCGGUACAAUUACAGAAAACACACUGUUUGUUCUCUUUACCUGCUAGUGGUAUUAAACAUUGAGUCUCCGCAGCGUGACCUGCCUCGUCCACAAACACGUGACUGAAAUGUCCUGGAGGAACACCUCUUACGACCAGCCUGCAGAGAUCAGACACAUGGUACAUGUUAGUAAACUCACCCCCACACCAGUUCACGUUCAGAUUUGACUGUGUAUUGUGUAUGACAGAGAGUAUAAGCAGGAUCUAAAUGCUGUAGUGUGCUGUUUUUUUAGUGUCAUGCAGGUGAGCAAACUGCAGUGUGAGCCAUUCACUACCUUCCAGCAGUGAAUAGGGUGGUGACCAUGAUCCUAUACUCCAUCAGCUUCUUUUUAAGAGGAUGAUCGUAACUCUGCCCUUCCAGGUUUGAGCAUUCCUGUGAAAGUACGCCAAUGUCCAUGUACACAAACCUCAAUGGGACCAGAAUACAACAGCAUCAAACAUGCAAAGCACCAGGAAAUGCAGCAGUACUGCAGCAAGAAAGCGAGAAAAUGGCCCUGAUUCAUUGUGUCAUCUAUUGACACUCUCACAAUCACUUGGGAUUCAAGAGCACCCGGCACUGACCUUUAAC